CAGGUUCGGGUCGAACGCAGUGAGACAACGGAGCCGCUUGCGGCGACGGCCCGAAGGGCGAGGCGAAGCCGAGUCAUCCUGCACGACCCACCA
rnacentral:sRNA from 1 species